rnacentral:rRNA from 1 species
UGCCACUUGUUCAACCACCCAUAAGUGGUACAUCCUGCCCAGUGAAAACCUUCAACGGCCGCGGUAGCCCGUGCUAAGGUAGCACAAUCACUCGCCUCUUAAUUAGAGGAAAGUAUGAAUGGACAAACGAAAGCCCCGCUGUCUCACCUCCAAAAAUAAAAAUUAUCCUUUGGGCGAAGAGACCCAAAUUCAGUAAAAAGACAAAAAGACCCUGUAGAGCUUUAUUAUCACCGUGCCACUAACUCCCUAAUAAUUACAGCAAAAUGAGUGCGUUAAAAUUUGGUUGGGGCAACCAGGGGUUCAACAAACCACCCCCUAAACUCUAAGACUUAAUACGUCAUAAAAUGAAGUAGUUUCCACUUACUAUAACUAAGCAACAGCUACCUCAGGGAUAACAGGCCAAUCCUUCUCAAGAGUCCAUAUCGACAGAAUGGGCUUGGUACCUCGAUGUUGGCUUAAGGUAAUCACCAAAGUGCAGAAGCUUUAGUGAUAGGUCUGUUCGACCUUUAAUUCCUUUCAUGAG